UACGGAGGUGGCAAGCGUUGUUCGGAAUUACUGGGCGUAAAGGGCGCGUAGGCGGCUAGGCAAGUCAGGUGUGAAAGCCCCGAGCUUAACUCGGGAAUUGCAUCUGAAACUGCUGUGCUUGAGUCCGGGAGAGGUGAGUGGAAUUCCCAGUGUAGCGGUGAAAUGCGUAGAUAUUGGGAGGAACACCAGUGGCGAAGGCGGCUCACUGGACCGGAACUGACGCUGAUGCGCGAAAGCGUGGGGAGCAAACGGG
rnacentral:rRNA from 1 species